rnacentral:tRNA from 1 species
UGCAUCGGCCAGGAAUCGAACCCUGGCCGCCCGCGUGGCAGGCGAGCAUUCUACCACUGAACCACCGAUGC